UUUCCGUAGGUGAACCUGCGGAAGGAUCAUUACCGAGUGAGGGCCCUCUGGGUCCAACCUCCCACCCGUGUUUAUUGUACCUUGUUGCUUCGGUGAGCCCGCCUCACGGCCGCCGGGGGGCAUCUGCCCCCGGGCCCGCGCUCGCCGGAGACACCCUUGAACUCUGUCUGAAGUGUGCAGUCUGAGCGAAAACUAAAUAAGUUAAAACUUUCAACAACGGAUCUCUUGGUUCCG
rnacentral:misc_RNA from 1 species